rnacentral:rRNA from 1 species
GACGAACGCUGGCGGCGUGCCUAAUACAUGCAAGUCGAACGAGAGCGACCGGUGCUUGCACUGGUCAAUCUAGUGGCGAACGGGUGAGUAACACGUGGGUAUCCUGCCCAUCAGAGGGGGAUAACAUCCGGAAACGGAUGCUAAAACCGCAUAGGUCUUCGAGCCGCAUGGCUUGAAGAGGAAAAGAGGCGCAAGCUUCUGCUGAUGGAUGGACCCGCGGUGCAUUAGCUAGUUGGUGAGGUAACGGCUCACCAAGGCCGUGAUGCAUAGCCGACCUGAGAGGGUGAUCGGCCACAUUGGGACUGAGACACGGCCCAAACUCCUACGGGAGGCAGCAGUAGGGAAUCUUCCGCAAUGGACGCAAGUCUGACGGAGCAACGCCGCGUGAGUGAAGAAGGUUUUCGGAUCGUAAAACUCUGUUGUUAGAGAAGAACAAGUGCUAGAGUAACUGUUAGCGCCUUGACGGUAUCUAACCAGAAAGCCACGGCUAACUACGUG